rnacentral:pre_miRNA from 1 species
UGCAAUUUUUAACUCUUUGUCUUAUUUAAAAUUUUUUUUAUGAUUGAUAUUUUUAUUUUUAUUAGAUGAUAAAUCAUGAAUAAUAUUUUACGUGUGACUAUUUUUUUCUAAUUUUCUGAAUAUUUUUAAAUAAAACGGAUAGUCAAAUAUUGGACACGGAAA